UACGUAGGGUGCGAGCGUUUGUCCGGAAUUAUUGGGCGUAAAGGGCUCGUAGGCGGUUUGUCGCGUCGGGAGUGAAAUCCACUGGCUUAACUGGUGGCUUGCUUUCGAUACGGGCAGACUGGAGGUAUGCAGGGGAGAACGGAAUUCCUGGUGUAGCGGUGAAAUGCGCAGAUAUCAGGAGGAACACCGGUGGCGAAGGCGGUUCUCUGGGCUACU
rnacentral:rRNA from 1 species